CCUACGGGGUGCACCAGUGGGGAAUAUUGCACAAUGGGCGCAAGCCUGAUGCAGCCAUGCCGCGUGUAUGAAGAAGGCCUUAGGGUUGUAAAGUACUUUCAGUUGGGAGGAAGGCGUUGAUGCUAAUAUCAUCAACGAUUGACGUUACCAACAGAAGAAGCACCGGCUAACUCCGUGCCAGCAGCCGCGGUAAUACGGAGGGUGCAAGCGUUAAUCGGAAUUACUGGGCGUAAAGCGCACGCAGGCGGUCUGUCAAGUCGGAUGUGAAAUCCCCGGGCUCAACCUGGGAACUGCAUUCGAAACUGGCAGGCUAGAGUCUUGUAGAGGGGGGUAGAAUUCCAGGUGUAGCGGUGAAAUGCGUAGAGAUCUGGAGGAAUACCGGUGGCGAAGGCGGCCCCCUGGACAAAGACUGACGCUCAGGUGCGAAAGCGUGGGGAGCAAACAGGAUUAGAUACCCUCGUAGUC
rnacentral:rRNA from 1 species